UUGAGGCACCAGGAGAAGAAGGCCACAGGCACGGACCAACGGACGCUAAAAUGAAAAGUCUUCCAGUCUCAGGGGUAUGGAGUGCAGGUGCACCUCAAAUGGAAUACACACGGAGACCAUCCAAUGAAGCACUUCCCCAUCAGUUUAAGAGUUUCAGACUGCUACUAGCAAGUCAGGGUCCUGUACCAGAUAUGGACUGGCUACAGAGUUUCCAUCACAGAGAGAGUACAAGAGAGGUGCACUCUAGAAGAUCCUUAAAUGCACUGUGACCUAUAGCUGUUACACACUGAAGUAAGAAUCAUUACUAAAGACAGUUCAGAUCCUCAGCUGGUAUAAUUCAUCUAACUCCCCUGAAGUCAAUGGAACGACACCAGUUUACUUCAGCUUAGUCUGGCCCUGUUUGUGCACCAAGUCAAUCAAUAACAAGAAGUGAAAAUAACGCAGAAUGAGCAUAACAAUGAAUUUCAUUCUGAGCACACGUUGCAACAAAUGUAUCUGAAGAAGUCCCGUCUUUCUUUGCCGACCAAAAGCUCUUGGUGGCUUCAACAGGCACUCUGGAUCUGUGAGGAACCCAAAACUGAAUCCUAAAUAAGAAUGCUAACUACAGCAUCAAACCACCACCACCAAAGAGGAGACUGUUCAGAAAUGUGUUCGGUUCCUCUUACCUGUAAAUGUCUCCGUACAUGGAUUGAUACCUGCGAGCCGCUUGGAAGUCCCAAAAUCAGAAAUUUUUACCACUCCACUAUAUGUG